rnacentral:rRNA from 1 species
UCGUUGGGGGACCUGCGGAGGUCAUUACCGAGAGAGGGGCUUCGCGCUCCCGGGGGCUUCGGCCUCCACCUCUUCACCCAUUGCGUACGCACCUCUGUUGCUUUGGCGGGCCAUGGGGCUUCGCCCUACGCCGGCCUCUGGGUCGGUGAGCGCCCGUCAGAGGCCCUUUAAAUUCCGUCUAUAGUGAUGUCCGAGUAAAACACAAAUAGUAAAAACUUUCAACAACGGAUCUCUUGGUUCCAGCAUCGAUGAAGAACGCAGCGAAAUGCGAUAAGUAAUGUGAAUUGCAGAAUUCAGUGAAUCAUCGAAUCUUUGAACGCACAUUGCGCCCCUCGGUAUUCCGGGGGGCAUGCCUGUUCGAGCGUCAUUACCCCCCUCAAGCGUAGCUUGGUAUUGGGUCUCGCCCCUUGGGCGUGCCCGAAAAGCAGUGGCGGUCCGGAGCGACUUUGAGCGUAGUAAAUUAUCAUCCCGCUUUGAAAGAUCGUCUCGGGGCCUGCCAAAAACCACAAAUAUUCUAUAAUUGACCUCGGAUCAGGUAGGGAUACCCGCUGAACUUAAGCAUAUCAAAGGCGGGAAGGAA